rnacentral:rRNA from 1 species
UCCGUAGGUGGAUUGGUAAGUCAGAGGUGAAAGCCUGCAGCUCAACUGUAGAACUGCCUUUGAUACUGCUAGUCUUGAGUCGUUGUGAAGUGGUUAGAAUAUGUAGUGUAGCGGUGAAAUGCAUAGAUAUUACAUAGAAUACCGAUUGCGAAGGCAGAUCACUAACAACGUACUGACACUGAUGGACGAAAGCGUGGGGAGCGAACA